rnacentral:rRNA from 1 species
GACGAACCGUACGAACGUUAUUCGGAAUUACUGGGCUUAAAGGGUGCGUAGGCGGCGCAGUAAGUUGGGUGUGAAAUCCCUCGGCUUAACCGAGGAAUUGCGCCCAAAACUACUGUGCUCGAGGGAGGUAGAGGUGAGCGGAACUUAGGGUGGAGCGGUGAAAUGCGUCGAUAUCCUAAGGAACACCGGUGGCGAAAGCGGCUCACUGGACCUCUUCUGACGCUGAGGCACGAAAGCUAGGGUAGCAAACGGG